GGCUGUGUCCUGCAGGAUGAGCCCCACAUCCUGGCUCAUGGCCGGGUCAGUGCUCGUGGUGCUGGCAUUGCUCCGGUGCCUCUUUGCUCGCAGCCAGGGAUGCCACGAAGGCGGCUAAAGGCCAAGUGCUGUCGCUGGAAGCCAGCUGCAAAUUAGUGCACGGUGUGUGAUUAAUGUGCUUUUUAAAUGCAUUCAUGUCCCGUCACACUGGCUGUGGCUCUUGUGUCACACUCGGUGCCCUCAGAACGUUUAUUAGCCUUAUAGAUCCCCUGAUUAUUGCUUUCUCUUUUAUAAUUAAGCCAUGAAACUCAGCAUGGUGCAGCUUAUGCGGCAUUAAUUCAUGCCUGGCGUACUCUGCCUGUGCCCUAGGAGAAGGCUAAAUGCUGGCAGCUGGGCUGCUUGCUGCACAGUUGCUAUUCUGAAAUUCUUUAAUAUGAUUACAGAAAUAACAGUCUGCGUGCAUAUGGGUGACUCGGGGCUCAGCACUGCUACACGCAGCAGCAAGACGUGGUGUGAGCUCCCCACAUCAGUGCUGUCAGCUCUGCUUUGCUGUUUGCUGCUCUCCCUUCUCAGGACGAGGAAUCCUACCCAGCUCCAGAUGCGAGGACAGCAGGCAGCAGGUGGCUGUGUCUGCUAUGGAAGAGCAUAGUGUCCCUCUUCUGUUUGGGAGCAGCAGGAAACAGCCUGGAAGUGGUAGGAGUGUGGACACAGAGUUCCUCUGAGCACAGCCAGAUGGCCGCUGUGAUCAGCACUGCAUCUGGAGCCGACGGAGGUACACAGUGACAGGUAUGGCUGCUCCCUUCUGCCUCUCCCCCAGAGAAAACCCCGUGUUUUACAAAUUGCACAUCUGCUGGCUGUGUCACACAGUGCUCCCUCACAUGUAGCCUCAAUUUCAGAGAGAGUCUCCCCAAAUCUGCAUUGAACUCCCUAUACUUACUGUACUGUCCCACUCCAUAGUAUGUGCUAUUUAUACUCACGCUACUCGCGUUAUCAGUUAUUACUAAUCAAGC
ensembl:lncRNA